rnacentral:rRNA from 1 species
AGUGAACGCUGGCGGUAGGCCUAACACAUGCCAGUCGAACGGCAGCACAGUAAGAGCUUGCUCUUACGGGUGGCGAGUGGCGGACGGGUGAGGAAUACAUCGGAAUCUACUUUUUCGUGGGGGAUAACGUAGGGAAACUUAGGCUAAUACCGCAUACGACCUACGGGUGAAAGCAGGGGAUCUUCGGACCUUGCGCGAUUGAAUGAGCCGAUGUCGGAUUAGCUAGUUGGCGGGGUAAAGGCCCACCAAGGCGACGAUCCGUAGCUGGUCUGAGAGGAUGAUCAGCCACACUGGAACUGAGACACGGUCCAGACUCCUACGGGAGGCAGCAGUGGGGAAUAUUGGACAAUGGGCGCAAGCCUGAUCCAGCCAUACCGCGUGGGUGAAGAAGGCCUUCGGGUUGUAAAGCCCUUUUGUUGGGAAAGAAAAGCAGCAGGUUAAUACCCCGCUGUUCUGACGGUACCCAAAGAAUAAGCACCGGCUAACUUCGUG